UGUAUUACCCUAAGUUUUCAAUUUUGAGUGUAUUUUGAGAAAAUUAGGAUUGAUUCUGAGUUAUAUAUAAUGUAAUACUGUAUAUUGAAUGAUGAUGUCCAGUUUUUUUGAUAUUGGCUUUCUUAUUGGUGAAUGAAGACUAUUUCAUUAUCGAAUUCUCCGUUCUUAAGACCAAUGAUUUGAUUAUUGUUUUCCUAUUUCAGUUAAUUAUAACUUUUUUGAGUUUUCUUUUUAACUUAUAGGAAACAUAACUUAAAAACAGAGCAAAAAGCGACAACAAGUUAUGGUUUGGUAUUCUUUCAACCUGAUAGAGACAUAUGAUGGUAUAGCAUGUUUACUCUAUGAGAAAUUCUAGGAACAGAUAGUUAGAUAUAUGCACUUCGUAAAUUCUUGGCAAGCUACGCUAUAAACAAGCAACUCCUAUGUGCUUUUGUCUAUGUAAAGACAAUUGACAACCUUGAAACUCCUUAUUUUUAUAUUUGGUCAUGGCCAUAAAUAAUGCAAGUCAACUAACAGAAGCUUAUUUAGAGAGCCAUCUUUCGUGCCACUUUUGGCGCACAGUUUUAUUAGCAUUGGAGAAUAAAGAUGGUAAUCUCGUUACGAAGAGAGUCGGGAAGAUAGAGUUGAUUUGGAGACUGGGGUUUUGCUUUAUAGACCUUCUGGUUGUGGACAAACCUUAAUUGCCAAAACUAUUGCUAAUGAAGCAAAAGCAAUUUUCAUACGUAUCAAGGUUUGUUACUGAAUCUGAUUUCUUGAAUAUCUUAUUAACCUAAUGUCCUGAUGAUUUCUUCAUUAUGAUAUGUUGUCACUCAUGAACAUGAUGAUAAAUGUCUUUUUGGCUCUAAUUUUAACGUAUGUUUUAUAGCUUUUCAAUGGUUGGAAGAAGAGUCAAUUGCAACUCUUCGAUCUAAAGGCUGUAUUGAUGGAUAUAUUGGUUCUUUUGAGAAAGAUGGACUCCAUAUUUUAUUAACUUGUGAAAUAUAAUUUCUUGUACGUUCGAUGAUUGAUAUCUACGUACUCUUUCAGAUAUUGGUGGUAGGUAUAUGCAAGGAUGAAUGCGUACUUGAUUUUGUGUGCUCUACAAGAAAUCAUGGUCUUCAUGCACCUCUAAAGGAUGUGAUUGUGUAUUGGCGUGUGUGAAACUUUUGUUCUUCCAUUACAUGUUCCCAGCAACAUCAUUGUUGCUCUUGCUCAACCACAGGUAUACUCAUUACUAUGUUAUGACAUGUUAUCUAUUCUCAAAGACAAAUUUGUUUCUUCAGCUGUGUGGCGAAAGAUAAAGUCCAUUGGUGGCGAAUGGAAUGUACUCUAAACCUCUAAUGGAUCUCAGGUUGUCAUGGUAAUGGCUCAAGUGUUAUGGGAUUAUCAGAAUUCUGCUUCUCAGAGCCGCUUAAAGAUAAACGACAAUUUAUUUCUCGUUGAAUGGAUACUCUUAUUGCUUUUCUAGAUGGGAACAAUGUAGCAGUAUCUAUUAUGUUGGUUUAUUAUCCUUGUAUUUCAUACGAUAAAUGUACGAUAUUUUACAUUCAACCCUUUGUUUGGGGUCACGUGAUUUAUUAUGCUUUAUAAUGAAGCUUUGCUUUUAACUUGAAA